UCUCGUUUGGUGUAGCGGUCAGCAUUCUGCCCUGUCACGGCAGCGACCCGAGUUCAAAUCUCGGAGCGAGAG
rnacentral:tRNA from 1 species